UUAUUGUUGUAGCUUAAAUUCAGCAUCUUUCCUGAUGUUGAAUGCGGGGAAACCGGACUCCUUAAGUUGAAAACUUAAGGAUGGGGCGUAUGUUGUCUGGCAACAGACGACAAGGCCACUUCUAAGGCCAAGCCCAUCAGCUAACCUCGUCGGCAUUUGGAAGGGCAAUC
rnacentral:sRNA from 2 species